ensembl:lncRNA
CCCCUCCCCUCCCCCCAGGGAACCACUUGUUGGAAUGUGACCAAAGACUUUGAGAAGCCGCCCAGGAGAGAUGCUAUUUAAAGUAGAUUUUAUGUUUCGUCUUUCGACUCGUCAUAACUCAGGAAAUGUCUGGGAGUCCCAGAGCCACUCUCUAGUGAAGCUCCAGUACCGAGGCCACGCUGCACACAUCCACAAGCCCCCGCACCUGGAGCCAUCGAUGGGUGAUGGAGGCUGAACACUGUUACCCCCCCACCCAGAGAACAGAGGCCCAUCACAGUCCUUCUGGCCCUGCUAGUCCAGGAGGGGGCCUCUCAAACCAUUCAAUAACUAAUACUCAUUCUUAAAGGAACCCUUUGCCUUUGUGUGCACAAUAGAAUGAGCUGAAGUAGGACCUUAGAGCAGACUAACAUAGAGGUAUUCUACUUUGUAUUUGAUCCGAUUUUUUGUAUUUAUGUUUUUUAUUGACCCUAAUGUGUACACCAGAUGAGUUCACAGUACUACAAUACUACUACUGUCUGAGUACACAGUACUACAGUAGUAUACUGUCUGAGUACACAGUACUACAGUAGUAUACUGUCUGAGCUCACAGUACUACAGUAGUAUACUGUCUGAGCCCACAGUAGUACAGUAGUAUACUGUCUGAGCGCACAGUACUACAGUAGUAUACUGUCUGAGUACACAGUACUACAGUAGUAUACUGUCUGAGCUCACAGUACUACAGUAGUAUACUGUCUGAGCCCACAGUACUACAGUAGUAUACUGUCUUGGCCGCUGGUCUCUUCGUUGUGUGUCUGCUCAGGAAGCCAUCAUCUGAGCACACGCACUUGGUUCACAAGUUAUUGAACCCAUAGUCAUCAGACGUCUUGACCAAUUAGAGCUCAACCAAAUAAAUCUCAACCAAUCAAACAUCACCAACCCAACGCUCUGUUUCCAGAGGCAGAAUGUUUCACUGAAACUCCUAUUAAACCACCUCAUUACCUGAUAGGGGCAGCGGCUCUGCUCUGAAACAAGGGGCCGGGGG